CCUCUCCCUUUUUCUCUUUCCUCUUCACCUGACCCUAUCAAAGGAACCCAGCUUUCCAUCUCGCUACCAGACGACGAUGUUUUAAACUCCUUUUUCAUCGUUUUCUCUACUUUCCCUUCUUCUUCUGCUCUCCAAUGGCUAACCAACAAAUACGAGUCCCCACCCAUUCUACCAAACAUGUUUAUCUUGUCUUUCAGAACAAAAGAAACAACACCACCAGUCUAAGCCUAAACAGAUCCGAGCUUUCUAUUUUGGCUAAACCAAGACUAUAGCUUGUUCUAUACUGUUGGUGGGUCUGUUUGUUUCCAAAGAUAACUUCACUGCAUUUUCUUUGCUUUUUCCCAAUGGAUGUUUUCUAGCUUCUUUCUUUUGGAGGUUAGUUAGCUUCUUUUCUAGGUUUUAAUUUCUAUUUGGGGUUCUUUUCUGGGUUUAAAUUUGAAACUUAGAUUGCUUUUCUGGAUCUGCUACUUCUUUUAUUUCUUAUUCCAUUCUUCAGGCAUAUAUGUUUGAUUAUGUGUUAAGGCAUGAUACAUUGAGACCUGAUAUAUGUAUAUGUAUGUAUUAUUCACCUCAUUACCUUUGCAAGGAUUAAAGAUUGUUGAAAUUGAUAUUGGAAAUAUAAAUUCUCUAAGUGGGAAUUUGCAGUCAAAUAGGUAGAACGAACACCUGACCAAGGUAUUAAAGAAUGAUUUCUUACAAGUUAUUAAUAACCUGGAAAGACAUGUGAUAAACUGUGUGGUUUAGGACAACUUGCUAUCUGAAACUUGAAAGUUUUCGCCUUUUUUGUUGUUUAAAAUAUACUUUUGAUUUCAAUCAUUUCAUACAGAAUUCCACCAUAGAUGUUUAGUUUCUGAUACUAUCUUAUAUCGUUAAUUCGUAGUUAACAUAAUAGUUAAUACAGUACAGUGGAAGUGAGUGAGGCCCUUAUAAUCGAUUUACAGAAUGGAACUGUGCUUCGGUUGGUUCUUAUUUGUGUCUUCGAUUCCUGUGAUUUUUGCUCAAGAUAUUAGUCAUGGAUCGAUUGUAGUUGAUGGAACUAUGACUAUUGCUCAAGAUGUUAGGCACAUACAUAAUUUUUCAUUCACUAUAUGUCAUAUUCAUGUUAGGCACAUACAUACAAUCAUCAUUUUUGAUGCAGUCAGUUGGUUCAAGGAAAUCAAGGAAGUGUAACUGCAGCAUUGCAACAAAUUCAGGCAUUGAUUCUACUAACUUUUUUUUGCUAGUUGGAAAAAGUUAUUUCUGUAUUUGCUGCAACAUUUUGCAAUCAAUCUCUUUUUGUUUCUUGAACUAAUAUAUAUAUAUAUAUAUAUAUAUAUCCUUGCAAGACAUUAAAGGUGACGUGAAUUUGGGCGGUCCACAGAAAGCCAUGCCCAUGGAUCCCUCAAUUUAUGGACAGGGAAUCAUGCAGUCAAAACCUGGAAUAGGAAAUACAGAUUUGAUGAACUGGAGACAGCAUUGAUGGAGAUGGUUAAGCAGGACAAUCGUCGCCAAUUAUGUGCUAGGAUCUUAAUGCGAUUUGAGCAAGAUCAAAAGGAAACAGAAGAUGCUUGUAGAUUUGCCGAACAAAAUGCAACUGCACAGAGAUAUUCUGUUGAAGUGCUUCAGGUUUGAUUGUGGCAUGUUUAUGUAUUCUAUAUAUCAACUUCUAUAGCAAAGGCUUAAGUAUUUGUUUUGAGCAGGAACACAUGCCCUAUGCCCUAUUUUCGUUUAAGGACCGCCAAGGAAAUUC